UACAGAGGAGCCAAGCGUUGUCCGGAUUGACUGGGCGUAAGGCGCACGCAGGCGGUUGCGCGCGUGGGGUGUGAAAUCUGGCCGCUUAACGGCCAGGCGCCAUCCCAUACGGCGCGACUGGAGUGAUGCAGAGGUCGAUGGAAUUGCCGGUGUAGUGGUGAAAUGCGUAGAGAUCGGCAGGAACACCCAGGGGGGAAACCAGUCGACUGGGCAUCUACUGACGCUGAGGUGCGAGAGCGUGGGGAGCGAACCGG
rnacentral:rRNA from 1 species